UAUACAUGCAAGUCGAGGGGUAGUGGAGCUUGCNUCCAUGAGACCGGCGCACGGGUGCGUAACGCGUAUGCAACCUACCUUUAUCUGGGGGAUAGCCCGAAGAAAUUCGGAUUAACACCGCANAAAAUCACAGAGCCGCAUGGUUCAAUGAUCAAAUAUUUAUAGGAUAAAGAUGGGCAUGCGUGUCAUUAGUUAGUUGGCGGGGUAACGGCCCACCAAGACCGCGAUGACNAGGGGAUCUGAGAGGAUGACCCCCCACACUGGUACUGAGACACGGACCAGACUCCUACGGGAGGCAGCAGUAAGGAAUAUUGGUCAAUGGAGGCAACUCUGAACCAGCCAUGCCGCGUGCAGGAAGACAGCCCUCUGGGUCGUAAACUGCUUUUAUUCGGGAAUAAACCUACUUACGUGUAAGUAGCUGAAUGUACCGAAGGAAUAAGGAUCGGCUAACUCCGUGCCAGCAGCCGCGGUAAUACGGAGGAUCCAAGCGUUAUCCGGAUUUAUUGGGUUUAAAGGGUGCGUAGGCGGCCUAUUAAGUCAGGGGUGAAAGACGGUAGCUCAACUAUCGCAGUGCCCUUGAUACUGAUGGGCUUGAAUACACUAGAGGUAGGCGGAAUGUGACAAGUAGCGGUGAAAUGCAUAGAUAUGUCACAGAACACCGAU
rnacentral:rRNA from 2 species